rfam:Solanum lycopersicum cultivar Heinz 1706 chromosome 8, whole genome shotgun sequence.
GCCCUAAGAACCACGGAGAUGAUUGGAACAAUACAGAGAAGAUUAACAUGGCCCCUAACAAAGAUGAUACGAACAAAUCGAGAAAUGAUCCAAUGAGAC